CAUGUGUUGUUGUCUGUGUCGAAUUGCUAUGCUUUAUCUUGGCCAGGUCGCAGUUGCAAAUGAGAACUUGUUCUCAACUAGCCUACCUAGUUAAAUAAAGGUGAAAUAAAUAAAAUAAAUAAAAAUUGAGAUAGAAUGUUUCAUAUUAGGUUACAAUACAGAAUGUCACCUUUUAUUUAAAACUAUUCAUACAUAUAUAUUUUACCGUUUAGUCUUAAUUGUACAAACUAAUUUAGUCAAAAGUUGAGUGUUUGGUCCCAUAUUCCAUUCCUGCAGUGAUUACAUCACACUUGUGUGAUUUACAUCACAAGCUUGUGAUUCUACUAACUUGUUGAAUUAAUUUGCAGUUUGUCUUGGUUGUGUUUUAGAUUAUAUUUUUCCUAAUAGAAACUGAAUGGUGAAUAAUGUCCUAUCAUUUUGGAGUCACUUCAUUUGUAUUGUCAGUAAGAAUAGAAGAUGUUUCUGAACACUUCUACAUUCAUGUGGAUGCUACCAUGAUUAUGAAUAAUAAUGAAUGAAUCAAGAAUGAUGAUGAAUGAGAAAGUUACAGAGGCACAAAGAUCAGACCCCCUCUGUUAUUGGUAAUGGUGAGAGGUUAGCAUGUUUUGUUGUAGUCUCUGUUAUUGGUAAUGGUGAGAGGUUAGCAUGUUUUGUUGUAGUCUCUGUUGUUGGUAAUGGUGAGAGGUUAGCAUGUUUUGUUGUAGCCUCUGUUAUUGGUAAUGGUGAGAGGUUAGCAUGUUUUGUUGUAGCCUCUGUUAUUGGUAAUGGUGAGAGGUUAGCAUGUUUUGUUGUAGCCUCUGUUAUUGGUAAUGGUGAGAGGUUAGCAUGUUUUGUUGUAUCCUCUGUUAUUGGUAAUGGUGAGAGGUUAGCAUGUUUUGUUGUAGCCUCUGUUAUUGGUAAUGGUGAGAGGUUAGCAUGUUUUGUUGUAGCCUCUGUUAUUGGUAAUGGUGAGAGGUUAGCAUGUUUUGUUGUAGUCUCUGUUAUUGGUAAUGGUGAGAGGUUAGCAUGUUUUGUUGUAGUCUCUGUAACUUUCUCAUUCAUUAUUAUUCAUGAUUGAUUUAUGAUUUGUAUUAAUUCUGACAUCAUCAAUAUUAAUUUAUGAUUGUUUAGAAACAUGUUAUCUACUCUAGAGCUUUCGGCGCCGGCGCCGACAGAGAUGGCCGCCUCGCUUCGCGUUCCUAGGAAACUAUGCAGUUUUUUGUUUUCUUACGUGUUAUUUCUUACACUAGUACCCCAGGUCAUCUUAGGUUUCAUUACAUACAGCCGAGAAGAACUAC
ensembl:lncRNA